CGGCGAACGGUCGCGUAACACGUAAGCAACCUGCCGAGAAGACCGGGACAACAUUCCGAAAGGAGUGCUAAUACCGGAUGUGGCACUGGGGGGCAUCCUCUGGUGAUUAAACCGAGCAAUCGGCUUCUUGAGGGGCUUGCGGCCUAUCAGCUAGUUGGUGGGGUAACGGCCUACCAAGGCGACGACGGGUAGCUGGUCUGAGAGGACGGCCAGCCGGACUGGGACUGAGAUACGGCCCAGACUCCUACGGGGGGCAGCAAUUAGGAAUCUUGCGCAAUGGGGGAAACCCUGACGCAGCGACGCCGCGUGGAGGAGGAAGUCCUUCGGGAUGUAAACUCCUUUCGGGUGGGAAGAAACAAAUGACGGUACCACCUGAAUAAGCCCCGGCUAACUACGUGCCAGCAGCCGCGGUAAUACGUAGGGGGCGAGCGUUGUCCGAAGUUACUGGGCGUAAAGCGCGC
rnacentral:rRNA from 1 species